AAAGCUGCAGCAACUACCUCUAGGAAAGCUGAUAUAGAGAAGAAGAAGCAUGAAGCGAUCGAAGCUCGGAAAGUGGAGCAGGAAUCACUUAAAGAACAAGAGACACUUAUUCCACAGGAGCAGGCAGCCAG